AUUGAACGCUGGCGGCAGGCCUAACACAUGCAAGUCGAACGAGUGGCGGACGGGUGAGUAAUGUCUGGGAAACUGCCCGAUGGAGGGGGAUAACUACUGGAAACGGUAGCUAAUACCGCAUACCAUCGGAUGUGCCCAGAUGGGAUUAGCGAGUAGGUGGGGUAAUGGCUCAACUAGGCGACGAUCCCUAGCUGGUCUGAGGGGAUGACCAGCCGCACUGAAACAGAGACACGGUCCAGACUCCUAGGGGAGGCAGGAGUGGGGAAUAUUGGACAAUGGGCGCAAGCGUGAGGCAGCCAUGCCGCGUGUAUGAAGAGGGCCUUAGGGUUGUAAGGUACUUUCACCGAGUAGGCGUUACUCGCAGAAGAAGCACCGGCUAACUCCGUGCCAGCAGCCGCGGUAAUUC
rnacentral:rRNA from 1 species